rnacentral:rRNA from 8 species
UAAUGUGAAUUGCAGAAUUCAGUGAAUCAUCGAAUCUUUGAACGCACCUUGCGCUCCUUGGUAUUCCGAGGAGCAUGCCUGUUUGAGUGUCAUUAAAUUCUCAACCUU